rnacentral:rRNA from 1 species
UACAGGGGGUGCAAACGUUGCUCGGAAUUAUUGGGCGUAAAGCGCGCGUAGGCGGCUACUUAAGUCGGAUGUGAAAGCCCUUGGCUCAACUGAGGAAGUGCACCCGAAACUGAGUGGCUAGAGUACGAAAGAGGGUCGCGGAAUUCACGGUGUAGCAGUGAAAUGCGUAGAUAUCGUGAGGAAGACCAGUGGCGAAGGCGGAUCUCUGGAGAGUUCCUGACGCUGAGGCACGAAGGCCAGGGGAGCAAACGGG